ACUCAAAUGAAUUGACGGGGGCUCACACAAGCGGUGGAGCAUGUGGCUUAAUUCGAGGCUACGCGAAGAACCUUAUCCUAGGCUUGACAUGUGCGAAAGCGCUGGGAAGUAGGCUACCGAAAGGCUAGCCCAACGGUAACCAGUCCGGAACCCAGUACAGGUGCUGCAUGGCUGUCGUCAGCUCGUGUCGUGAGAUGUCGGGUUAAGUCCCAUAACGAGCGAAACCCUUGUCUACAGUUGCCAGCGCGUCAUGGCGGGGACUCUGUAGAGACUGCCGGCGUCAAGCCGGAGGAAGGUGGGGAUGACGUCAAGUCCUCAUGGCCUUUAUGCCUAGGGCUGCACACGUGCUACAAUGGUACGAACAAAGGGAUGCAAACCUGCGAGGGGGAGCCAAUCCCAAAAAACGUGCCCCAGUUCAGAUCGGAGGCUGCAACUCGCCUCCGUGAAGUUGGAAUCGCUAGUAAUCGCGGGUCAGCAACACCGCGGUGAAUGUGUUCCUGAGCCUUGCACACACCGCCCGU
rnacentral:rRNA from 1 species